rnacentral:rRNA from 1 species
CCUACGGGGGGCAGCAGUGGGGGAUAUUGCACAAUGGGGGAAACCCUGAUGCAGCGACGCCGCGUGGGCGAAGAAGUAUUUCGGUAUGUAAAGCCCUAUCAGCAGGGAAGAAGAAAUGACGGUACCCGGAGAAAAAGCAUCGGCUAACUCCGUGCCAGCAGCCGCGGUAAUACGGAGGAUGCGAGCGUUAUCCGGAUUCAUUGGGUUUAAAGGGUGCGCAGGCGGGCCUUUAAGCCGGCGGUGAAAUCGCGGGGCUCAACCCCGCCGAGCCGUCGGAACUGGGGGCCUUGAGUGCGGCGGAGGCAUGCGGAAUGAGCGGUGUAGCGGUGAAAUGCAUAGAUAUCGCGCAGAACCCCGAUUGCGAAGGCAGCGUGCCGUGCCGCCACUGACGCUGAGGCACGAAAGCGCGGGGAUCGAACAGGAUUAGAUACCCUGGUAGUC